UACGUAGGUGGCAAGCGUUAUCCGGAAUUAUUGGGCGUAAAGAGCGCGCAGGUGGUUGAUUAAGUCUGAUGUGAAAGCCCACGGCUUAACCGUGGAGGGUCAUUGGAAACUGGUCGACUUGAGUGCAGAAGAGGGAAGUGGAAUUCCAUGUGUAGCGGUGAAAUGCGUAGAGAUAUGGAGGAACACCAGUGGCGAAGGCGGCUUCCUGGACUGUAACUGACGCUGAGUCACGAAAGCGUGGGUAGCAAACAGGACUAGAUA
rnacentral:rRNA from 1 species